rnacentral:rRNA from 1 species
GAUGAACGCUGGCGGCGUGCCUAAUACAUGCAAGUCGAACGCUGGAGCUCUAGCUUGCUAGAUCGAAGGAGUGGCGAACGGGUGAGUAAUACAUAAGCAACCUACCCACGAAGACUGGGAUAAUCUCUGGAAACGGGGACUAAUACCGGAUAGGUAAUCGGAAGGCAUCUUCUGGUUAUUAAAGGUUAAAAACACUGGUGGAUGGGCUUAUGGCGCAUUAGUUAGUUGGUGAGGUAACGGCCCACCAAGACGAUGAUGCGUAGCCGGCCUGAGAGGGUGAACGGCCACAUUGGGACUGAGACACGGCCCAGACUCCUACGGGAGGCAGCAGUAGGGAAUUUUCGGCAAUGGGGGCAACCCUGACCGAGCAACGCCGCGUGAGUGAAGACGGCCUUCGGGUUGUAAAGCUCUGUUGUAAGGGAAGAACGGUAGAUAGAGAAUAUCUAAGUGACGGUACCUUACCAGAAAGCCACGGCUAACUACGUG